rnacentral:rRNA from 1 species
UACGUAGGGUGCGAGCGUUAAUCGGAAUUACUGGGCGUAAAGCGUGCGCAGGCGGUUCGUUGUGUCGGCGGUGAAAUCCCCGGGCUCAACCUGGGAAUUGCGUUGGAGACUGCAAGGCUGGAGUCUGGCAGAGGGGGGUAGAAUUCCACGUGUAGCAGUGAAAUGCGUAGAGAUGUGGAGGAACACCGAUGGCGAAGGCAGCCCCCUGGGUCAAAACUGACGCUCAUGCACGAAAGCGUGGGGA